GAUGAACGUUGGCGGCGUGUUUAAGGCAUGCAAGUCGAGCGACGUGUUCCCGCAAGGGAAUUACGAGCGGCAGACGGGUGAGUAACACAUUGGUAACCUACCUUCAAGACGGGGAUAGCUCUCCGAAAGGAGAAUUAAUACCCGAUGGUCAUGUGGGGACGCGAGUCAUUCACAUGUAAAUCCCACGGGGCUUGAAGAAGGGCCUAUGUCCUAUCAGCUAGUUGGUAAGGUAAUGGCUUACCAAGGCUAUGACGGGUAGCAGGCGUGAGAGCGUGACCUGCCUCACUGGGACUGAGACACUGCCCAGACUCCUACGGGAGGCUGCAGUCGAGAAUAUUCCACAAUGGGGGAAACCCUGAUGGAGCGACGCCGCGUGCAGGAAGAAGUCCUUCGGGAUGUAAACUGCUUUUGCGUGGGACGAAUUAUUGACGGUACCACGAGAAUAAGAGGUUGCUAACUCUGUGCCAGCAGCAGCGGUAAUACAGAGACCUCAAACGUUAUCCGGAUUUAUUGGGCAUAAAGGGUCCGCAGGUGGCUUGAUAAGUUGGGUGUUAAAUUCCAGAGCUUAACUUUGGAACUGCAUUCAAAACUAUCAAGCUUGAGAGUGGGAGAGGCAAACGGAACUGCAGGUGUAGUCGUAAUAAGCGCUGAUAUCUGCAGGAACACCAAAGGCGAAGGCAGUUUGCUGGAACACUUCUGACACUCAGGGACGAAAGCGUGGGGAGCGAAUAGGAUUAGAUACCCUAGUAGUCCACGCCCUAAACGAUGUGCACUAGGUAUUGGGAGUAUCGACCCUCUCAGUGCCGUUUAAAAAAGCAAAUGCGUUAAGUGCACCGCCUGGGGAGUACGGCCGCAAGGUUAGAACUCAAAGGAAUAGACGGGGACCCGCACAAGUAGAGGAUCAUGUGGUUUAAUUCGACGGUACACGGCGAACCUUACCAAGGCUCAACUACUAGCUGCAAGCCGGUGGAAACAUUGGCCGCUUCCGAAGGUGCUAGAUAGGUGCUGCAUGGUUGCCGUCAGCUCGUGCCGUGAGGUGUACCCUUAAGUCGGGAAACGAGCGCAACCCCUUUCGUGUGUUAUAUAUGUCACACGAUACUGCCC
rnacentral:rRNA from 1 species